rnacentral:misc_RNA from 1 species
AACCUAGCACACCUGCGGUGUGUACCUGCGGAGGGAUCAUUACAGAGAUUGAUGCACCAAGUGCAUCACCUCCAACCCCUUGCGAAAACAACUAUCAUGUGUUGCUUUGGCAGUGUUUCCACUGCCAGAGGUUUACAUAAAAUCAGCUGUUGGAUGUUGUCUGAGUAAACUAUAUGAAUUAUUUAAAACUUUCAACAAUGGAUCU